rnacentral:ribozyme from 1 species
UGCCCAGCAACUCCUAUCCCUACCUCCUCGUCGUAUCGGCCAGAAACUACGAGCAGCCUUAGGGAAGAUCGGGUAACCAACCCCGGUGGGGUCGUAGGCUGACAGGGAAGG